CGGGCCACAGCGCUGUGGGAGCUCAAAGUGUGUCUGCUGGGGGAUCCAGGUGUAGGUAAAUCGAGUAUUGAGCGGCGGUUUGUGGAGGACAGUUUUGAUCCAAACAUCAACCCAACAAUAGGGGCAUCUUUUAUGACCAAGACUGUCCUGUACCAAAAUGAGCUACAUAAAUUCCUAAUCUGGGUUACAGCUGUAUAAGAACGAUGUCAUGCCUUAGCACCAACGUACUAUCGAGGGUCGGCCGCAGCUGUAAUCGUUUAUGGUAUCACAGAAGAAGAGACAUUUUCAACAUUAAAGGAUUGGGUGAAAGAGCAUCGACAGCACAGCCCACCUAAUAUUAUAGUUGCCAUUGCAGGAAAUGUGUGAUCUUAUUGAUGUAAGAGAAGUCAUGGAGAGAGAUGGAAAAGACUAUGCCAACUCUAUUCAUGCAAUUUUUGUAGAGACCAGCGCAAAAAAAGCGAUAAACAUAAAUGAACUCUUUAUAGAAAUUAGUCGAAGAAUUACAUUCACUGACGCCAACCGCCAUCUGGCGGUAAGGGCUUCAAACUCCGAAGGCAGCCUUCAGAGCCAAAGCAGAGCUGCUGCUGACCGAACCUCAGCCUCUCAUACUUGAUGAUGAAGUAGGUGUUCCUGAAAGUUAACAGGAGGGCUGGGACCCUGCCACCAGUUUCCACCUAGCUGGUCUUGAGUCUUCUCUGUGCACAAAGUAUUCAUAGAUAUUGACUAAUCUCUUCUCCAAAGACUGCAGCAAUGAUAUUUCAGUCUGUGGACUUCUAUUAUGUAAAGAAUCUCUAGUGUACAACAGGACUACAUCAUUGGCUUUUGACCUUGCUGAAAAGGAACAUGUAAUUGCAUGGGUGGUAAGAUUAAAUUGUUGAGUAGUUUUGUGAUCAAGAUAUUAUGUAACAUUUGUAAAGGAAAAAUUAACACUUUUGUGGUUCUCAAAGGAAAGGAAGACCUUGUGGAGAUUAUCAUUUCCUUGGUUUCUGUUACCACUGUCAGAGGGAGUUGUAUCAUUUAAAAUACAGUAGGAUAGUCUAAAUGGGGACAGGACAAUUAUGAUCUGAAGCUAAAAUGGGUCAUUUAUAGGACUGAUGGAAAUGACUUCAUCUCUGCCAUCUCUAAAGCACUUUUCAUUGACUAUGUUAGCCUAGGAUGCGUACAGUAAAUUAACAAUGAUAGCAGCAGAUCCGUAGCUCACCCUGGGUUUGCUUCUGACCUUGUCAUGUGUGUGCCACCAAACAUGUUAUUGGCACCUUUUUAAAAUAAGCUCUCAUGAUCAAGAUGCUGAUGGUAGAGAAGCCGCCUGGAAUAAAUUGAAUUUCAUGUGUUCUAAUUGACUAGCAGUUGUUUAAAAAGGAAGAAGAGAGGAAGUAAAGAAGUUGGUGUAAAUGCUGUCAAUUUUUUUUAACCCAAGUAUUUUGGUGGGGAAAAACAAAUAUCUGUUGCUUAGCAUAUGUAAAGUUGUAGUCUAUAUUUAUGAGGCCAUCGCUUAAAGGUUAUCAGUUAUGUAAAUACAUUAAUAAAUUCUAAGUUUCAUUUGAAAAAAAA